rnacentral:tRNA from 10 species
GCGGCGGUAGUCUAGCCUGGUUUAGGAUGGCGGCCUUCCAAGCCGUUGAUCCCGGGUUCGAAUCCCGGCCGCCGCA